CGCGCAGGUGGGUUUGCAAGUCAGGGGUGAAAUCCUACAGCCUAACUGUAGAACUGCCUUUGAUACUGCAAAUCUUGAGUACGGAAGAGAGAGGCGGAAUUUCAGGUGUAGUGGUGAAAUACGUAGAUAUCUGGAAGAACACCAGAGGCGAAGGCGGUCUCUUGGUCCGUUACUGACGCUGAGGCGCGAAAGCGUGGGGAGCAAACAGGAUUAGAUACCCUGGUAGUCC
rnacentral:rRNA from 1 species